GACGAACGCUGGCGGCGUGCUUAACACAUGCAAGUCGAACGGAAAGGCCCUGCUUUUGUGGGGUGCUCGAGUGGCGAACGGGUGAGUAACACGUGAGUAACCUGCCCUUGACUUUGGGAUAACUUCAGGAAACUGGGGCUAAUACCGGAUAGGAGCUCCUGCUGCAUGGUGGGGGUUGGAAAGUUUCGGCGGUUGGGGAUGGACUCGCGGCUUAUCAGCUUGUUGGUGGGGUAGUGGCUUACCAAGGCUUUGACGGGUAGCCGGCCUGAGAGGGUGACCGGCCAAAUUGGGCCGGGGAAAGGGCCCAGACACCAAGGGGAGGGAGGAGGGGGGAAUAUUGACAAAGGGGGGGAAGCCUGCGGAAGCAACGCCGGGGGGGGGAGGAGGGCCUUGGGGUUGAAAACCGUUUUCGCUUGUAACGAAGGGGGAGGACCGGAAAGGGGGAAAGAAGCACCGGUAAACUACGU
rnacentral:rRNA from 1 species